rnacentral:rRNA from 1 species
AUUGAACGCUGGCGGCAGGCCUAACACAUGCAAGUCGAGCGGAUGAAGGGAGCUUGCUCCUGGCUGCAGCGGCGGACGGGUGAGUAAUGCCUAGGAAUCUGCCUGGUCGUGGGGGAUAACGUCCGGAAACGGGCGCUAAUACCGCAUACGUCCUGAGGGAGAAAGUGGGGGAUCUUCGGACCUCACGCUAUCAGAUGAGCCUAGGUCGGAUUAGCUAGUUGGUGGGGUAAAGGCCUACCAAGGCGACGAUCCGUAACUGGUCUGAGAGGAUGAUCAGUCACACUGGAACUGAGACACGGUCCAGACUCCUACGGGAGGCAGCAGUGGGGAAUAUUGGACAAUGGGCGAAAGCCUGAUCCAGCCAUGCCGCGUGUGUGAAGAAGGUCUUCGGAUUGUAAAGCACUUUUAGUUGGGAGGAAGGGCAGUAAGUUAAUACCUGGCUGUUUUGACGUUACCAACAGAAUAAGCACCGGCUAACUUCGUG